AGGAUGAACGCUGGCGGCGUGCCUAAUACAUGCAAGUCGAACGAGGUGCUUUUGUAGUAAUACGAGAGUAUCCUAGUGGCGAACGGGUGAGUAACGCGUUGGUGACCUACCCCAAAGUGUGGAAUAACAGUCCGAAAGGAUUGCUAAUACCGCAUGUGGUUAUCGGGCUUAGAAACUGAUAACUAAAGGAGCAAUUCGCUUUGGGAGGACCUGCGUCCCAUCAGCUA
rnacentral:rRNA from 1 species